rnacentral:lncRNA from 1 species
GUCCAACUGCAGGAAGGAACAUGUCUAUACCAAAAGCCAAGCAAAUGGUUGGAAAUAAAAGUGGUUCUGAGGAUGGGGCCUGUAGCUGAUGGUACGUGGACCAUCUUGUCACCGCACCAAGCCUCCAUCUCCACAGACUACACCGUCCUUGUCAAAUGGCCAAGUUUGGGAGGUGGAGCAUCUUUUCCAUAUCUACUGCUACUUUGAGUGUCUUCUUAUUUUCAGGCAAUGACCCUGGCAGCUCAUACAUACAGGCUAGCAUGACAUAUGCCAUGUUUUUU